GGUUCUUUUAAUUUUAUUAAACUCUUUUACACUAUAUAGAGUUUUUGUCAUGAAAUACAAUUGUUGUAUGAAUGUUGUUGAUUUUUCUUUCCUCGCUAUACAGGGUGUAUAAAAAAACUGAACAGAUUUGAAAUUGCUCUCAAUUAGUAUCCAGUUUUUGAUAUAAUUUAUGUAGUUUCUUUGGGUACUUACUUAUAAUGUAGAAUAAAAAAAAUUUCUCGAACUCAAAUUUUGUAAACCAGGGGUGUGUGUCUUUUCCAACAAACUAAAAAUGGCUUGCGCACGAAAUUUAAAAGCUUUAAUCAUAUUUUGAGUUGAUAGAUGGAAAAGUUAUUGGGUUUUUAAUUAAUGUACAAAAUUUUAGACAAUUUGGUUAAGUUUAAAUAUUCAUUUUUCUCUAAAAAAUUAGCCUUUCUCAUCAUCGCAUGCUUAUAAUUAAUGCCUUUACCUAAUUUGCAUAUUGCUGACACUAUGCAAAUUAGGCAAAGGCAUUAAUUAGCAUGCAAAUAGCUGAGUUUUUAAGAAAAAAUGUAAGUUUAUGUUAAAGGGCUUAAACUCAAGCAAAUUGUCUGAAAUUUUGUACAGCAAUUAACAACCCAAC